AUANUGCACAAUGGGCGAAAGCCUGACGGAGNAACGCCGCGUGAGUGAUGAAGGUUUUCGGAUCGUAAAACUCUGUUGUUAGGGAAGAACAAGUACCGUUCGAAUAGGGCGGCACCUUGACGGUACCUAACCAGAAAGCCACGGCUAACUACGUGCCAGCAGCCGCGGUAAUACGUAGGUGGCAAGCGUUGUCCGGAAUUAUUGGGCGUAAAGCGCGCGCAGGCGGUUUCUUAAGUCUGAUGUGAAAGCCCCCGGCUCAACCGGGGAGGGUCAUUGGAAACUGGGGAACUUGAGUGCAGAAGAGGGGAGUGGAAUUCCACGUGUAGCGGUGAAAUGCGUAGAGAUGUGGAGGAACACCAGUGGCGAAGGCGACUCUCUGGUCUGUAACUGACGCUGAGGCGCGAAAGCGUGGGGAGCGAACAG
rnacentral:rRNA from 1 species